GAGCGAACUUGAGGACAUUACACGGAAGACAAUACGUGAAGCGUUAAGACUACUUCAUACCACAGUUAUUUUACCUAAAGUACAUCAAUCAAGGUUUGCUGGCAGUUGCCGCGUAUUUCAAAGAGGGAAGGCUGCAGAAAGGUUUGUUAUAAAAGAAGUCGCGCACGGCAAUGUCAAACGAAGAUGUGUCAAGGCAGAACAAUUUACUCUGGUGUAAAACUAUUUGGUGUCAAGACAAUUUACGCUAUCACCUGCUGUGACAAAGUAAUCUUGUCUACAGAAAGUGCGUGUGAUCUUUGGUUACAAGUAGAACACGAAGUAGGGCGUCAGAUAAGAAGCAAGCAGAUUAUUUAAACAGGAGAAAAGAGCCUUAACAGGAGAAAAGGAUAAUACACAAAGGAACACGAAAGAUAAAAUCUCUCCUUGGUUGCUAUGACAGGAAAGCAGUAAGAAGACAAUGAAGCAGACAAACAGUAUCAACCGAGGAAAACUCAAUAGCAGUAUUUAAUGAAAAGGGCAUGAAAUUAGAAUGUUUUGAUAGUUUUUAUUUAAUUUCUCUCCCAAAUAAAAGUAAUUAUAAGUAUUAGUUAUAUUGUAACUUCUUAGAUAAUGGAAUGGAGAAGUUAAGUUUUAAUAAUCUUAAAAUUUUUAUCAGGACUUUUGGACAUAGGGUUUAGAUAUAAAUUUUUAUCACUUGGUUUUCGUAUUUUCCCCAUGACCAAGGAAGUAGGAAUACGAAGAAAUGCCUUCAAUAGCACAGUUGAAAGAAGCCUAAAGACGUUUUGGAGAAUGUUUCACUUCUUACUUAAGUUUCUUAAUACGAAGUUUUCUAGUAACUUGAGUCUUCAAGCAUUUUAUCUGCAGUGCAGUUAGGAAGGACAGUAGAAAUGCGAAGAAAUGCUUAGUCCAGGUGAAGGAAUUCAGGAGAUAAGAAAUAAACCGGAAGAAAUCAUAGUCCAGGUGAAAGAAUUCAGGAGAUAAGAAAUUAACCGGAAGAAAUCAGUGUUUGCGUCUUGAAGCGUCAAUGAUGAUCAACUUGCUCUUUCCCACUUUCUUGAAACCAAGGGGAACGAAAAACCUUCUCAGCCUUUGCUAUUGUUCCUUCCUUGGACAAGAUGAAGAAAUUCAGGAGAUAUGAAACCGAGGGACGAAAUCAAUGAAGCUCUGGUGUUUGGUUAACGACCGAGCUUACUUUUUUCGAUGACUAAUUCCCCAGGUAUAAAUUUAAAGCUUCCUUCUCAGCUGCUUUACACAAGUGUAUCAGACCUCACACCUGCAACAUAGAAUAUUGUUAAUUUACAACCUCGGGUUUAGUAAACACUGAUUAAAUGUUGCAUUCAGGUGUCAGUCAUAAAACAGUCCAAGCUAGAACAACAACAAAAUGGAUUGGAUUGUCACAACUUCCAAAUACAUAUCAAGAAUGAAGUACUAGUGAACAAUUGCUUUAAGAGAUUAAUUACGGCCAGAACGGACUAGAGAUUAAGGCCACAAUUAAUAUCAAUUAAGGUCUUAAAUUAGCAACUGGACUCAUCAAUUACUGCCACUGACUCAAUUGAGUAACUUGGACCCUUCAACUAUCAGUUUAAUAGUAUCCAGUCUAAAAAAUAAAAAUAAAAUUCCAAAUAAU